GUCAUUCCCUCAUCCUCUUAGGCCACCCCUUCAUCUUGCCAAUGCCAGAGUUUUACUCAGAGGCCAAUGGCAUCUGAAGGCCUUGAGACCAUCACUAAUAGAAGUUAGUUUCACGAGUGCCUGAGAUCCUCCAAGCAAUGGAGUGUGUCUGGUUUUGAUGGGAAAGAAAGAAUCCAAAGAUGUGAUAACAGCCACAAAAUUGGAAUAUCUCAAAACAAACAGGAUAACAAGAAGGAAAAAUAAAGCAAUACUAUAUCCAUGAAUUUAGUAUAAACAGAAGGAUUUCAAUGUCCCAAUUGCAAAUUUACCAACAAGUACAUAGAGAAAUACA